AUGGCCAGCGUUGUCCUCAACUUCAACACGUUCCUAGAGAAAACCAAGCUGAAAGACGAUGGCAGCAACUAUACGGACUGGGUCCGGAACCUGAGGAUCAUCCUCAUAGCUGCCAAGAAAGAUUAUGUCCUACAAGCACCGCUAGGUGAACCACCUGCUCUCCCUGCAGAACAAGACGUUAUGAAUGCUUGGCAGACACGUACCGAUGAUUACUCCCUCGUUCAGUGCGGCAUGCUUUACAGCUUAGAGCCGGGGCUCCAAAAGCGUUUUGAGAGACACAGAGCAUAUGAGAUGUCCGAAGAGCUGAAAAUGGUUUUUCAAGCUCAUGCCCGGGUCGAGAGAUAUGAAGUCUCCGACAAGUUCUUCAGCUGUAAGAUGGAGGAAAACAAUUCUGUCAGUGAGCACAUACUCACUAUGUCAGGGUUACAUAACCGCUUGACUCAGCUGGGAGUUAAUCUCCCGGAUGACGCGGUCAUUGACAGAAUCCUUCAGUCGCUUCCACCGAGCUACAAGAGCUUUGUGAUGAACAUCAAUAUGCAGGGGAUGGAAAAUACCAUUCCUGGAGUAUUUGCAAUGCUGAAAUCAGCAGAGGUAGAAGUCAAAAAGGAACAUCAAGUGUUGAUGAUGAAUAAAACCACUAAGUUCAAGAAAGGCAAGGGUAAGAAGAACUUCAAGAAGGACGACAAGGGAGUUGCCGCGCCCGGUAAGCAAGCUGCCGGGAAGAAGCCAAAGAAUGGACCCAAGCCCGAGACUGAGUGCUUUUAUUGCAAGGGAAGUGGUCACUGGAAGCGGAACUGGCCCAAAUACUUAGUGGACAAGAAAGCCGGCAUCACGAAAGGUAUAUGUGAUAUACAUGUAAUUGAUGUGUACCUUACCAGUACUCGUAGUAGCUCCUGGGUAUUUGAUACCGGUGCGGUUGCUCAUAUUUGUAACUCAAAGCAGGAGCUGCGGAAUAAGCGGAGACUGGCGAAGGACGAGGUGACGAUGCGCGUCGGGAAUGGUUCCAAGGUUGAUGUGAUCGCCGUCGGCACGCUACCUCUACAUUUACCUACGGGAUUAGUUUUAAACCUCAAUAAUUGUUAUUUAGUGCCAGCUUUGAGCAUGUACAUUGUAUCAGGAUCUCGUUUAAGUCGAGAUGGCUACUCAUUUAAAUCCGAGAAUAAUGAUUGUUCUAUUUAUAUGAGAGAUAUGUUUUAUGGUCGUGCUCCGAUGAUGAAUAGUUUAUUCUUAAUGAAUCUCGAGCGUAAUGCAACACAUAUUCAUAGUGUGAAUACCAAAAGAUGUAAGGUUGCUAAUGAUAGUCCCACAUACUUGUGGCACUGCCGCCUUGGUCAUAUAGGUGUCAAACGCAUGAAGAAGCUCCAUGCAGAUGGAAUUUUAGAGUCUUUUGAUUAUGAAUCAUUUGACACGUGCGAACCAUGCCUCAUGGGUAAAAUGACCAAGACUCCGUUCUCAGGAACAAUGAAGCGGGCAACCAACUUAUUGGAAAUCAUACAUACUGAUGUGUGCGGUCCAAUGAGUGUUGAGGCUCGCGGUGGCUAUCGUUAUGUUCUCACCCUCACUGAUGACUUGAGUAGAUAUGGGUAUGUCUAUUUAAUGAAACACAAGUCUGCGACCUUUGAAAAGUUCAAGGAAUUUCAAAGUGAGGUUGAGAAUCAACGUGACAGGAAAAUCAAGUUCUUGCGAUCAGAUCGUGGGGGAGAAUACUUGAGUCACGAAUUUGGCACACACUUAAGAAAAUGUGGAAUAGUUUCACAACUCACGCCGCCUGGAACACCUCAGUGUAAUGGUGUGUCCGAACGUCGUAAUCGCACUCUAUUAGAUAUGGUGCGAUCUAUGAUGUCUCUUACCGAUUUACCGCUAUCAUUUUGGGGCUAUGCUUUAGAGACUACCGCAUUCACUUUAAAUAGGGCUCCGUCGAAAUCCGUUGAGACGACACCGUAUGAAUUAUGGUUUGGGAAGAAGCCUAAGCUGUCGUUUCUAAAAGUUUGGGGAUGCGAUGCUUAUGUCAAGAAACUUCAACCUGAAAAGCUCGAACCCAAGUCGGAAAAAUGCGUCUUCAUAGGAUACCCUAAAGAAACUAUUGGGUAUACCUUCUACCUCAGAUCCGAAGGCAAGAUCUUUGUUGCCAAGAAUGGAUCCUUUCUAGAGAAAGAGUUUCUCUCGAAAGAAGUAAGUGGGAGGAAAGUAGAACUUGAUGAAGUAUUACCUCCUGAACCGGAAAGUGGCACAACUCAGGAAAAUGUUCCUGUGGUGCCUGGACCGACUAGAGAGAAAGUUAAUAAUGAUGAUCAAGAUACUUCUGAUCAAGCUCCUACUGAACUUCGAAGGUCCACAAGGACACGUUCCGCACCAGAGUGGUACGGCAACCCUGUCUUGGAAAUCAUGUUGUUAGACAACGGUGAACCUUCGAACUAUGAAGAAGCGAUGGCGGGCCCGGAUUCCAAUAAAUGGCUGGAAGCCAUGAAAUCCGAGAUAGGAUCCAUGUAUGAAAACGAAGUAUGGACUUUGACUGACUUGCCCGAUGAUCGGCGAGCCAUAGAAAAUAAAUGGAUCUUUAAGAAGAAGACAGACGCGGAUGGUAAUGUGACCAUCUAUAAAGCUCGGCUUGUCGCUAAGGGUUAUCGACAAGUUCAAGGGGUUGACUACGAUGAGACUUUCUCACCUGUAGCGAAGCUGAAGUCCGUCCGAAUCAUGUUAGCAAUUGCUGCAUUCUAUGAUUAUGAGAUAUGGCAAAUGGACGUCAAAACGGCAUUCCUUAAUGGUUUCCUUAAGGAAGAAUUGUAUAUGAUGCAGCCGGGAGGUUUUGUCGAUCCUAAGAAUGCUGACAAGGUGUGCAAGCUCCAACGCUCG
rnacentral:rRNA from 1 species